GUCCCUUUGAUCAUCUCUUUAGGAAACAAUUAACAAUUGCUUCAGCCUCUUUGAAUGAGUCUCUUCUAAACCCUGGUGAUUCUCAUGCUCUGACCUCUCCCAGCCCAGAUCUUUCCCCAGGUGCUCGCAGGGCAUCAGGAAGGCCUCACCAGUCCAAAUGCAAAGGACACGAUCCGUUCAUGGUCUCAGAGGUUGGCACACUGCACGCAUCGUGGCAAAGGACGGAUCGCACAGGGCCCUGCACAGCACUUCCCCAGCUCGUCCUGUACCACUCGUUGCUCCUGCUUCAGCCUUCUGCACCUGCUCUGCAUCUGCACGCUGUCCUCUCCACAAUGGCUCCCUAAUUACUCAAGGCUGCUUUGAAUGCCAUUAAUAUAACACUUCCCAUGCAAGCCAAGCCAUUAGCAGACACAAUACAUAACACCACACAGGGGACUGUGAAGGCCACACACCUGCACUCCUCAGGGCAGGGUUUUUCCAAUUAAUCGCUGCUCUGAAGGCCUGGGUUUCAUCGCAUCCAUCUUUCCCCAAAUUGCUUCCCAGACAGCAUCCUCGGAGAUGGGGUCAGGACCUCUGGGCAGCGUCUGUGGCUGCUCCAUAUGGGGCACGUCACACUGCCACAGGAACACGCCUGAUCCGACAGGGCAUGCCACGUCACCUCCUGCACAUCUUUCCAACUGCUUCCCGGGAUAUUUAAUUGUUUUGGGGUUUGUCCUGGAAAUGAAGCCACAGGGACAGGUGCUCCUCCUCCUGGCUUAGCUGGAAUUCACAGCCCUUCCCUCAAACAGCAAGCACAGCUCAUCAGAGAGAUAAUCUGGACCCCAAAUACCAGAUCUGAGCCAGCCCAAGCGUCCACCACGCUACAGCUUCAGCCAGCAGGGAGGACGCAGAGACUGAACCCAAAACACCAGACCCUCGAUGCCAUUGCUGUGCCCACCUGCCCCUCACCUUGCCUGGCAUCACUCCAGCCGCCACACACAGCCUUGAGCCUGCUCCCAGGAGAGGCACAAAGGCUGCUGGAGAUGUGUUUUCUGAGCUAAGAUAGCUGGAAGUCUGCCGUAUUUAUGUCUGCAGUGCUCCUGCAGGCUCACCAGGUAAUUCUGUAAGGUGAAGCUCCGUGAUAUCCCUUUUUUUUCAGAAAGAACAAACCACUUCCAGCUUUUUGCAGUUUUCCUGCUUCUACCUCUUGAACUGAUUCCCCCGUUUCCUGACCACUUUCACCAUUUCCUUUUGGUAACACCCCUGGUUGAGGCAGUGGUUUCUGCAGUGCAGGUCUGUGUGCCUGACAAAAUCCACACUGAGCUUGUAGAGAAAUGCCUUACGGAGAGCAAGUCCUGCGGCUGCUGGGGGCAGAAUGUAGGAAACAGUUAACAGAGCACCUCACAUCGUGUUAUCAACAUCCUGAGCCGGUCCUGCAGUUUUAUAUGCAGAAAAGCUUACCAUCACUGCAGAGCCAGCCCUCCCUUUUCCGACAGUCCCUUGUGUGAGAGAGCAUUGUAUCAGCAUUUUGAUGAACAUUUGAAUAACCUCAGCUUUUGGAGCACACAAAGAAGAGCAAACCUACUCAAAGGGUGUAGGAGGAAAGGCCUCAGCUCAUUUUUAGCAGAGGAGGUUUAUAAAUUGCUGAGUUAUUACUUCAGCCUCAGCUCACCCCAUUGAUCCCUUUGCUACCAGGAACCACUAGAAAUUCUCCAUCAGGGGCCAAAUCCUAAGAGACCAGUUCAAGUUUUGUGAGAGAUGCUCAGCAUGGAAGAAAUUACCUCCAGAUAACGAGUUAUAAAGUGAAAAGCCUGGGUAAACCCAUGGGAGGAGCAGCUGGUGCUGCACAGCACAUGGCCUGCCUCACAAGGCACAAAACCUGCAUUUUUUGGUCACCAGCGCCACGGGCACACAGCCUCAGCCCAGCUGCGGUCCCCUGGGUGAUGCUUACAGCAGAGCUGGUGUUAGGGGCUGGCCCCCACCCCAGGGCAGGAUCCAGCCACAAAAUUCUGAGUUGAGAUGAAAGCACAAGUUGUUAUUACGGUGAAAAAGGAAGGAAAAACAUUGAAUUAUUUUAUAAGCAGAUGUCUACCAUUGGGUCUACACCACAGCCAUUUUACAGCCCUAUUUCAUAUCCAAACUUGUCUCCUGCUGCAUAAAUAUUCAUUAUCUGUCCUUCUUGGUCUAAUUUUAGUUAAAUAAAGAUCUCUGCAGCAA